CCUUCGAUAGCUCAGUUGGAAGAGCGCAAGACUGUAAUGGAUAACUGCGCAUCUUGCGGCCGCUGGUUCGAGUCCGGCUCGAAGGA
rnacentral:tRNA from 1 species